AGCAGUAGCCGCGGUAAUACGUAGGUGGCAAGCGUUGUCCGGAAUUAUUGGGCGUAAAGGGCUCGCAGGCGGUUUCUUAAGUCUGAUGUGAAAGCCCCCGGCUCAACCGGGGAGGGUCAUUGGAAACUGGGAAACCUGAGUGCAGAAGAGGAGAGUGGAAUUCCACGUGUAGCGGUGAAAUGCGUAGAGAUGUGGAGGAACACCAGUGGCGAAGGCGACUCUCUGGUCUGUAACUGACGCUGAGGAGCGAAAGCGUGGGGAGCGAACAGGAUUAGAUACCCGGGUAGUCCCUGUCUCUUAUAC
rnacentral:rRNA from 1 species